UACGUAGGGUGCGAGCGUUGCCCGGAUUUAUUGGGCGUAAAGGGCGCGUAGGCGGUGAGAUGCGUCCGUUGUGAAAUCGCCCGGCUCAACUGGGCGGGGUCAGCGGAUACGGUCUCACUUGAGCAAGCUAGGGGGCAAUGGAAUUCCCGGUGUAGUGGUGGAAUGCGUAGAGAUCGGGAGGAACACCAGAGGCGAAGGCGGCGACCUGGACAGAUACUGACACUCAACUGCGAAAGCGUGGGGAGCAAACAGG
rnacentral:rRNA from 1 species